GUGGCAAUGGACCAUUAUACACUGGAGCUGGCAGUGGUGGUGGAUUAUAAACUGGAGGAGGUGGAGGUGGCAAGUAUUGAAUUGGAGGCGGUUGCGCCUGGCAUGGCGGUGGUGACGGAGGUGGAGGAGGUUCUGCACAUGAGGGAGGUGGUGGAGAUGAGUUUGGCGGAGGUGGUGAUUGAUAAAUAGGUGGCGGCGGAGGUGAAUUAGGAGGUGAGUUUGGUGGGGGUAGUGGAGGUGAGUAGAAGGGAGGAGGUGGUGGAGAUGAGUUUGGCGGAGGUGGUGAAUGAUAAAAAGGUGGCGGCGGAGGUGAAUUAGGAGGUGAGUUUGGUGGGGAUAGUGGAGGUGAGUAGAAGGGAGGAGGUGGUGGAGGUGAUGGUGGAGAUGGAACACAGUGUAUUGGGGGUGGCGGCGGCAUUGAUGAUGGAGGGGGAGGUGAGGGAAGUGCUGAUGGAGGAACUAGUGAAGG
rnacentral:lncRNA from 1 species